rnacentral:rRNA from 1 species
UCGGGAAUUUUGGGCAAUGGGCGAAAGCCUGACCCAGCAACGCCGCGUGAAGGAUGAAAUCCUUCGGGAUGUAAACUUCGCAAGAACGGGAAGAAUAAGUGAGAGCUAACAUAUCUUACGCUUACGGUACUGUUUGUAAGCUCCGGAUAACUCCGUGCCAGCAGCCGCGGUAAUACGGGGGGAGCAAGCGGUGUUCGGAUUUACUGGGCGUAAAGGGCGCGUAGGCGGCCACCGCAAGUCAGUUGUGAAAGCUCUGGGCUUAACCCAGAAAGGUCAACUGAUACUGCGGGGCUAGAGGGCAGAAGGGGCAACUGGAAUUCUCGGUGUAGCGGUGAAAUGCGUAGAUAUCGAGAGGAACACCUGCGGCGAAGGCGGGUUGCUGGGCUGACACUGACGCUGAUGUGCGAAAGCUAGGGGAGCGAAC